GGCGAACGCUGGCGGCGUGCUUAACACAUGCAAGUCGAACGGAAAGGCCCUGCUUUUGUGGGGUGCUCGAGUGGCGAACGGGUGAGUAACACGUGAGUAACCUGCCCUUGACUUUGGGAUAACUUCAGGAAACUGGGGCUAAUACCGGAUAGGAGCUCCUGCUGCAUGGUGGGGGUUGGAAAGUUUCGGCGGUUGGGGAUGGACUCGCGGCUUAUCAGCUUGUUGGUGGGGUAGUGGCUUACCAAGGCUUUGACGGGUAGCCGGCCUGAGAGGGUGACCGGCCACAUUGGGACUGGGAUACGGCCAAGACUCCUACGGGAGGCAGCAGUGGGGAAUAUUGCACAAUGGGCGGAAGCCUGAUGCAGCAACGCCGCGUGCGGGAUGACGGCCUUCGGGUUGUAAACCGCUUUCGCCUGUGACGAAGCGUGAGUGACGGUAAUGGGUAAAGAAGCACCGGCUAACUACGUG
rnacentral:rRNA from 1 species